CCUACGGGAGGCAGCAGUGAGGAAUAUUGGUCAAUGGCCGGAAUGCUGAACCAGCCAAGCCGCGUGAAGGACGAAGGUGCCAAGCAUUGUAAACUUCUUUUGUCAGGGAACAAAGGGCGCCACGUGUGGCGCUUUGGGAGUACCUGAAGAAAAAGCAUCGGCUAACUCCGUGCCAGCAGCCGCGGUAAUACGGAGGAUGCGAGCGUUAUCCGGAUUUAUUGGGUUUAAAGGGUGCGCAGGCGGAAGGUCAAGUCAGCGGUAAAAUUUCGGGGCUCAACCCCGUCGUGCCGUUGACACUGGCGUUCUUGAGUGAGCGAGAAGUAUGCGGAAUGCGUGGUGUAGCGGUGAAAUGCAUAGAUAUCACGCAGAACUCCGAUUGCGAAGGCAGCAUACCGGCGCUCAACUGACGCUCAGGCACGAAAGCGUGGGUAUCGAACAGGAUUAGAUACCCGUGUAGUC
rnacentral:rRNA from 1 species